UACGUAGGGUGCAAGCGUUGUCCGGAAUUAUUGGGCGUAAAGGGCUCGUAGGCGGUUUGUCGCGUCGGGAGUGAAAUCCACUGGCUUAACUGGUGGCUUGCUUUCGAUACGGGCAGACUUGAGUGUUGCAGGGGAGACUGGAAUUCCUGGUGUAGCGGUGAAAUGCGCAGAUAUCAGGAGGAACACCGGUGGCGAAGGCGGGUCUCUGGGCAACAACUGACGCUGAGGAGCGAAAGCGUGGGGAGCGAACAGG
rnacentral:rRNA from 1 species